UUGACCUCGGAUCAGGUAGGGAUACCCGCUGAACUUAAGCAUAUCAAUAAGCGGAGGAAACGAAACCAACCGGGAUUGCCCUAGUAACGGCGAGUGAAGCGGCAAGAGCUCAAAUUUGAAAGCUGGCCCCCUCGGG
rnacentral:rRNA from 1 species